rnacentral:rRNA from 1 species
UACAGAGGUCUCAAGCGUUGUUCGGAUUCAUUGGGCGUAAAGGGUGCGUAGGCGGCGCGGUAAGUCGGGUGUGAAAUCUUGGAGCUUAACUCCGAAACUGCAUUCGAUACUGCCGUGCUUGAGGACUGGAGAGGAGACUGGAAUUUACGGUGUAGCGGUGAAAUGCGUAGAUAUCGUAAGGAAGACCAGUGGCGAAGGCGGUUCUCUGGGCCUUACCUGACGCUGAGGAGCGAAAGCAUGGGGAGCAAACAGG